rnacentral:rRNA from 1 species
CAUCGUUUACGGCGUAGACUACCAGGGUAUCUAAUCCUGUUCGCUACCUACGCUUUCGUCCAUCAGCGUCAAUAUAUUGUUAGUGAUCUGCCUUCGCAAUCGGUAUUCUAUGUAAUCUCUAAGCAUUUCACCGCUACACUACAUAUUCUAACCACUUCACAAUAAUUCAAGACAUACAGUAUCAAUGGCAAUUCUAUGGUUAAGCCACAGACUUUCACCACUGACUUAUAUGCCCGCCUACGGACCCUUUAAACCCAAUGAUUCCGGAUAACGCUUGCACCCUCCGUAUUACCGCGGCUGCUGGCACGGAGUUAGCCGGUGCUUAUUCUUAUGGUACCGUCAUCAGUCUACACGUAGACCUUAUUCUUCCCAUAUAAAAGUAGUUUACAACCCAUAGGGCAGUCUUCCUACACGCGGCAUGGCUGGAUCAGAGUUGCCUCCAUUGUCCAAUAUUCCUCACUGCUGCCUCCCGUAGGAGUCUGGUCCGUGUCUCAGUACCAGUGUGGGGGAUCUCCCUCUCAGGACCCCUAUCUAUCGAAGUCUUGGUAAGCCGUUACCUUACCAACUAACUAAUAGAACGCAUAGUCAUCUUAUACCGCCGAAACUUUAAUUAUUUAAUGAUGCCAAAAAAUAAUACUAUGGGGUAUUAAUCUUCGUUUCCAAAGGCUAUCCCCCAGUAUAAGGU